rnacentral:rRNA from 1 species
CGCCUCUUGAAUUUAUAUAAGAGGUCCAGCCUGCCCAGUGACCCUGUUCAACGGCCGCGGUAUCCUAACCGUGCGAAGGUAGCGUAAUCACUUGUUCUUUAAAUGAGGACUAGUAUGAACGGCAUCACGAAGGUUAUACUGUCUCCUUUUUCCAAUCAGUGAAUCUAAUCUCCCCGUGAAGAAGCGGGGAUAAAACUAUAAGACGAGAAGACCCUAUGGAGCUUAAAACAAUACAGCACUUGCUAAAAAAUUUAACAAUUCCAGAAUUUUUCAUUUUAUAAGCAACAUGACUGUAAGUUUUUGGUUGGGGUGACCACGGAGUAUAACACAACCUCCACGUUGAAAGAAUUUUAUUCUAAGCCAAAAAUUACAUUUUUAAGCAUCAAUAAAUUGACAUCUAUUGACCCAAUACUAUUGAACAACGAACCAAGUUACCCUAGGGAUAACAGCGCAAUCCACUUCAAGAGCUCCUAUUGACAAGUGGGUUUACGACCUCGAUGUUGGAUCAGGGUUUCCCAGUGGUGCAGCCGCUACUAAAGGUUCGUUUGUUCAACGAUUAAAACCCU